GACAUCAAGCUGGCUCCAAAGAAGACUGCAGCCUCAGAGCAGCCCAGGCCCAGGAGCAGCCGGCCUCUCGGAGGAGGCCAAGCCACCACUGAGAGGCAGACAGAAAGGGCCCUCCCUUGGAAGAAACUGCCGUCCUCUGCAGAGCAGGGCAUUUUGGGCCCUCUGACUGUAGUCUCCUGCCUCUCACUAGUCACACUCCUGGUUCCCUGCCCUGUCUGGGUAAAAAACCCCAGCAAGGAGGAAGAGGCAGACUCCAAGGAGGAGGAAGCGUCCUGACUUGAGGGGGCCACCGACCUCCCCAGGACUCUCACAAGCCACCGCUUUUCCUGCCCCCUUCAGAUGAGCCCCAGGAAAGACAACUGAGAAACCACUUUAAGUGCCAGCAUGAGGCUCCCGGCCAGCACAGUGAAGUUGGGAGAGACACUGGCAGGAUACCAGAGAUCAGAAUCCAUUAAGUCUCUGAGCUCCUGUCACACUGAGCGCUUCAUUGUUUGUGUGGGUAUAGUCAGCAAACACCACCUCUUGGAGAAGGAACUGGCAGAUCGGCCUACAGCCAAAUGCCUUGCUGCUGCAAGUGGCCCUAAACCCUAGGAUGGAAGGCUCUCUUUUUAGGAGAUCUUGAGGGUCUUAGGGGUGGUGAUGUCAAGGCUCAAUGUGUGGAUCAGAAGGUCCAGGAGUCUGGAGAUCAAGACUCCCAGGAAAAGAGUCAGCAACCACAACAGGACUCAGUGGGAAAAGAAAUCUGACCCCUCACUGGACACUGAGUGGAUACCUCAGAAUAGUGGAGGCAAACAGGAAGCACAGAAGGCUUCUGAGGCC
rnacentral:lncRNA from 1 species